rnacentral:rRNA from 1 species
UACGUAGGAGGCAAGCGUUGUCCGGAAUUACUGGGCGUAAAGCGCGUGUAGGUGGUGGGACAAGUCUGCUGUGAAAGCGCCUGGCUUAACCGGGCGAGGUCGGCGGAAACUGUUCGACUCGAGGACGGUAGAGGGGGGGUGGAAUUCCUGGUGUAGCGGUGAAAUGCGCAGAUAUCAGGAAGAACACCCGUGGCUAAGGCGGCUCUCUAGUACGGUACUGACGCUGAGACGCGAAAGCGUGGGGAGCGAACAGG